AUGGCUGAAGUCCCAGUUGUACCAAAGUCUCCUGCAUUCCCCAACUGGGACUCAGCCCCACUUCAACUGGUUUAUCCCUGCUUUUGGCCUCUGAGGCCCGCCGCCCUGACCGCCGCCCAGGCCGAGGCCGCGAGUGCCCGCCGGCCGCUUCCGCUCUCGGCGCAGGCGCUGCAGCUUGGCCAGAGCGGAGGGGGGUCGGGAGAGGAGUGGAUGCCGCUGGCCAGGAUUGUGCUGGAGAGCGUGGCCCGCAUCAUGAAGGUGCAGCUCCCCGCAUAUCUGAAGCGGCUCCCAGUCCCUGAAAGCAUUACCGGGUUCGCUAGGCUCACAGUUUCAGAAUGGCUUCGAUUAUUACCUUUCCUUGGUGUACUCGCACUUCUUGGCUACCUUGCAGUUCGUCCAUUCCUCCCGAAGAAGAAACAACAGAAGGAUAGCUUGAUUAAUCUUAAAAUACAAAAGGAAAAUCCGAAAGUAGUGAAUGAAAUAAACAUUGAAGAUUUGUGUCUUACUAAGCAGCUUAUUGUAGGUGUUGGCGUUCUAAAACGUUUCCUGCCUGUGAUGGUUCACAUAAUAAACACAAUGAAUUGACAGGAGAUAAUGUGGGUCCACUAAUACUGAAGAAGAAAGAAGUAUAAUAAUAAUAUUAUAACAAUAUUUUCUCAUUCUUUGUGUAUAGAAAAUUUUUAAAUGGUGGUCUUAAUUAUUACUACUGGUUGAACAAUUAUUUCUUCCAAUUUAUUUUCUUCCUGCACUACUGUUUGUAUUUGAUCCUUUGUCUAUUCAGUCACUUAAUUAGAAAUUAAAUUGUCAAGCCUCUUAUUCUGACUUCAAAGAAUUAAUGUAUCUUCCAACAAUAAAAUCACUUCUGAUUUUAAUCUAGGAAAACCUAAAUUGUGGCUAUGGAUCCAAAGCUGUUUGUUUCUUUGAAUAUCAAUAUUUUCAACAGGAUCUUGUAUUUAAAAUUCCCAUCUACAUUGUUAAAUAUGUUAUUUUUUCAUAUCUCUUUUGGUUUUGAUAAUCUGAAGUGUUUUUUUCUCCUUUUGGCCUUCCAAACUGCAUUUAUUUAGGUGAAUUAAGAAAAAUAUUGCCAUCAAGAAUUACUUGUGUUUUCACAGAGAUAGACUCUUUGCUUUAUAGAGAUUGUAGUGUAUUUAAUAUGAAUAUCCCAGCUUUAGAAAAGAAGUAAACUGGAUACAAAAAGUUCCAUCGAGGAACAGUUAUUUACAAUAUAAAAGAUUUGUUUACUUU